rnacentral:lncRNA from 1 species
AAAGGCAGCAUGAGAACAGAGUACGCUAGGAGAGGUAAUGGCUUUUAAGAAACCUUUUGGCUUGAGUACCCAUUAAUGUGGAAGGUGAAGAUCCCAUGGUGUAUUUGGCUUCACUGGCAAUUAACAUGUUUUCUAUUACCUGUGUGGUGCUUCUGAGUUUGGCUAAAGCUCACCAUUGGUUCUGCCACUGAUCUUGAAAUUUUAUUUUUGCUAGGCUGGAGUGUGAUACAGAGAUUUACAUAUCUAAACGUUUUGCUGAGACCAUGCCACUGCUAUGAGUUCUUGUGAUAACUGCAGGCCAUCACGCCUGCCCUAAACCCCUUACUGGAAGGAAGCAUUGGUACCCCUGUGCAUGCUGCAGCAGUGUCCUCAGGACCAGGAGGAUAUUAAAACCAUCUAAGUGGGUUGGGAGGCAUGUCUUUUUUAAACUUUGUACCUGAUGUUGUAGGUUAUACAACAGACAGCCUACGAGAAGGUUGUCUUUUGAUAAAUGAAGAGUGAAUACCAGUUAGAUGGGACUAAAAAAAGAUAGCAUUUGUUCAGCUUGUUUACCCUGAAAUGAACAGCUGGCCUGUGGUUUGGGAAAAGAAGAGGGUCUUCCCCUCUUUGCUUUCCAGGAUUGUUGGAUGCUGAAUAAACUUCCAAGAUCUGGAGGUAAAAGUAAUGGAGUCACCGUAACAGAGGAAAGCUUUCCACCUACUCUGGGUUUGUAGCCUGCUUGGGCUAAGACAACCUCAUCUCCAAGUUUUCAUGCAUUUUUCCUAUAUCUUCCUUAUCAGCCCAGAGGGUUUUUCCUGGCAGAUUUUAAGGACUUUCCAGAGUUUUCCUGGGAAUACACAGCAGACCCAUUGAGGCCACCAUGCGAGAGUCACAGGCAGGAAGGCCACUGCCUGCCACGUGGCUGCCUACACACCCCGCAGGCCAGGACAGGGAUGAAACAGCUCAGAAGAACCUCAUACCUACUGUGUGUCCUACCAUCUGUGUGAGUGUGCUGAAGGAAGAAGACAAAUACCUCUG